rnacentral:rRNA from 1 species
GAUGAACGCUGGCGGCGUGCCUAAUACAUGCAAGUCGAGCGAAUGGAUUAAGAGCUUGCUCUUUUGAAGUUAGCGGCGGACGGGUGAGUAACACGUGGGUAACCUGCCCAUAAGACUGGGAUAACUCCGGGAAACCGGGCUAAUACCGGAUAACAUUUUGAACCGCAUGGUUCGAAAUUGAAAGGCGGCUUCGGCUGUCACUUAUGGAUGGACCCGCGUCGCAUUAGCUAGUUGGUGAGGUAACGGCUCACCAAGGCAACGAUGCGUAGCCGACCUGGGAGGGUGAUCGGCCAGACUGGGACUGAGACACGGCCCAGACUCCUACGGGAGGCAGCAGUAGGGAAUCUUCCGCAAUGGACGAAAGUCUGACGGAGCAACGCCGCGUGAGUGAUGAAGGCUUUCGGGUCGUAAAACUCUGUUGUUAGGGAAGAACAAGUGCUAGUUGAAUAAGCUGGCACCUUGACGGUACCUAACCAGAAAGCCACGGCUAACUACGUGCCAGCCGCCGCGGUAA